GAAGCAUCUGACUCUUUCAUGCAUACUCCACUUGGCUCGAACCCGUCGGGGAGGCCUGAGAGGCGGUGGUUUA
rnacentral:tRNA from 1 species